GUGCUCACUUUGGCAGCACACAUACUAAAAUUGGAACGAUACCGAGAUUAGCAUGGCCCCUGCACAAGGAUGACACAAAUUCGUUGAAGUAUUCCAUAUUUAA